GACGAACGCUGGCGGCGUGCUUAAUGAAUGCGAGUCGAGCGAGAACCAGAGGAGUGCUUGCACAAAUCUGGGGAAAGCGGCAAACGGGUGAGUAACACGUGGGUAACCUGCCCUGCAGACGGGCAUAACAGUUGGAAACGACUGCUAAUUCCCGAUGGUCUGCAGCUACGCGAGUAGCUGUAGUAAAGGUUUUUCCGCUGCAGGAUGGGCCCGCGGGCCAUUAGCUUGUUGGUGGGGUAACGGCCUACCAAGGCGACGAUGGCUAGCCGGUCUGAGAGGAUGGUCGGCCACACUGGGACUGAGACAUGGUCCAGACUCCUCCGGGAGUUAGCAUCAGGGAAUCUUGCGCAAUGGGCGAAAGCCUGACGCAGCGACGCCGCGUGAGGGAUGAAGGUCUGCGGAUCGUAAACCUCUGUAAGCAGGGACGAUAAUGACGGUACCUGAAGAAUAAGCCCCGGCAAACUUCGUGCCAGCAGCCGCGGU
rnacentral:rRNA from 1 species